UAUAAAAAUUUGAAAUAGCUGCACCCUUUUUGUUUUUCAAGCUAAUAGAUUCUUAGGCAGAUAAGAAAUAGAAAGAUCAGAAAGAAUAUCAUAGGAAUAUAACUUGGGAGGGGUUUUCUCCCAUCUAUAUAGAUAUAUUUUUUUUUUAAUUUACAUUUUUGUUAAUUAGAUCAGGAUAAUUAUAUUGGAAUAAUGGGUUGGAGUCAGAUUAAGAGUUGUUUGAUUCUGGUUGUGUUUCUCUUCCUUUUCACCGGUCUCUCAGCGUCCACUUUCAUUACAGAUGAUAUUUUUGGAUGCCCAGAUUCAACAAAUAGGAGGCUCCUCCAGGCUAAGAAAGCUUGCCCCGUUAACUUUUGAGUUCCAGAACCACACUGUCAUCUUCAGCAAGUGCAAAGGGACACUAUACCUUUCCCAAUCUACGCUGUGGUGCUUUUAAAGAAUUUGCUUGUCCUUUUUAUGAUGAACUGAACGACUGUGCUUCAGUCAUGUUCAGCUACAUUAACCUCUACGGUAAGUAUCCAGCAGGUCUAUUUGCCAGUGAGUGCCGGGAAUCAAAGGAUGGACUUGAAUGCUCUGCAACACCACCAUCAUCAUCACUAUCAGAGAAAACAGAAAAAGCUAGCGCCGGGGAGAUAAUAUGUAACCUAUUCUCAAUGCUGAUGCUCAUUACAGCUUCUCUUCUGCUGUUACUGUAAUUUAUUUAAAGCUUCCACGUAUUUUACUUUUGUCAUCAUAUAUUUUCCUGCUGCUUACAGAAGUACUCAAACCAGUCCAUAUUUUUGUAUUGAUAUUUUCAGGUGAAUCAGAUGAGGCUUGUUCACUAUGUAA